rnacentral:lncRNA from 1 species
GCCUCCUCAAGUAUAAAUAAUGAUUUUUUUUUUCAGGGAAGCAUUUUCUAGAAACUUAUCCUUCUUGGGGAGUGAAGUCUGUGAAGUGUUCCAACCUGUUCACCUGCUGUCCUGAUGGCAUAAGAGCAGUUCUCUACGGGAUCUGCCUUGAACACUGCAUCCAUCACAUGGGAAGAAAUAGAUUGUGGUUUUGCUAGACUUUCUGUAAUAGGAAUAUUAUUUCCUGAUGGUUGUAAGACAUCUGUCCAGGUACAUUAUCCAACUGGAAAAAUAUCUCAAGAAUCGUACUUGUAGCAAUAGUCAAAAUCUCCUCCCUAGCCAUCAAAUGUAAUAUGAGCUUUAUGUCCUCUUGCACUGCCACAGAUUGCCAGGCAGAUCAGAUAAGGAUUCUUUCUGUUGCUUCAUUUCAUUCUCCUUUUAAUGACUUAAGGUUGGCUUCUGUGAUCCCUUCUUACAGAAUGUUGAAGGUACUAUUUCAGAUCCAUUUAGAGAUCAUAAAAGGAACUUUGGCCAAGAUGAUACACUCAUCUGGAACCCCAAGGGGGCUGAAGUAAUGACCUCCUUUUUACACUUCAGAUUCCUAACAAUUGUGUGUCCAAGGUUCAAGAGAUCUACAAGCUUCCUAAAGUCAUUUCCAUUGUCACUAUAUCUAGUGCUAACUAUAUAAGCUGGCAUAUGUAAUCCCAAUAAUCAUAAUUCAUGUUGAAGUAAUAUUGUGACAGUAACAUGCUUCCUUUCAAACAAACUGUGAGGUCUUUAGUUGGUGAAAUUGUGGACUGACCAAAUUACCGUGAAGGAUCACAGAAAGAUCCAGUCUCUCCCAGUAAUUGUUCUACUGGAAAUUGUCGUUUUGCCCAGAGGAUAUUCUUCAUUGUCAUGCUUGACAGUAUGGAUCUUUUCCCCAUGGGCUCCCUUUUUGGUGUUCUUUUCUCAUGGGGCUACAAUGGGUGGAGGUUAUUUCCCCAGAGUCCAGUCAGCAUGGGGACACAGGGCACUGCUACUGUAUUUUAGAGCCCAAGGGCAGAGCCCAGACCUAAGUUGUAUGCUUUAUAAAAGCAUCCUUAUUGGAGCAUCAUUGACAUACAAUAAAC